CCACAUUGGGACUGAAUCCACGGCCCAAACUCCUACGGGAGGCAGCAGUGGGGAAUCUUGGACAAUGGGCGCAAGCCUGAUCCAGCCAUGCCGCGUGAGUGAUGAAGGCCCUAGGGUUGUAAAGCUCUUUCACCGGAGAAGAUAAUGACGGUAUCCGGAGAAGAAGCCCCGGCUAACUUCGUGCCAGCAGCCGCGGUAAUACGAAGGGGGCUAGCGUUGUUCGGAUUUACUGGGCGUAAAGCGCACGUAGGCGGAUCGAUCAGUCAGGGGUGAAAUCCCAGGGCUCAACCCUGGAACUGCCUUUGAUACUGUCGAUCUGGAGUAUGGAAGAGGUAAGUGGAAUUCCGAGUGUAGAGGUGAAAUUCGUAGAUAUUCGGAGGAACACCAGUGGCGAAGGCGGCUUACUGGUCCAUUACUGACGCUGAGGUGCGAAAGCGUGGGGAG
rnacentral:rRNA from 1 species